GGCAGUGUGGUCUAGUGGAAAGAUCACAGGCCUGGGAUUCAAAGGAUCUGGGUUGCAAUCCCAGCUCUGCCG
rnacentral:tRNA from 1 species